rnacentral:rRNA from 1 species
GAUAAACGCUGGCGGCGUGCCUAAAACAUGCAAGUCGAACGGCUCACUUCGGUGGGUAGUGGCGAACGGCUGAGUAACACGUGGGUGACCUGCCUUCGAACGGGGGAUAACUGCCCGAAAGGGUGGCUAAUACCGCAGAUGUCUGUGCUUCGGUGUGCAGACUGAACUUGAGGGGUUCGGAGAGGGGCCUGCGUCCGAUUAGCUAGCUGGUGGGGUAACGGCCUACCAGGGCGACGAUCGGUAGCUGGUCUGAGAGGAUGAUCAGCCAGACUGGGACUGCGAACGGCCCAGACUCCUACGGGAGGCAGCAGUUAGGAAUUUUGGGCAAUGGGCGAAAGCCUGACCCAGCAACGCCGCGUGGGUGAUGAAGGCCCUCGGGUCGUAAAGCCCUUUUCCAGGGGAAGAUAGUGACGGUACCCUGGGAAUCAGCCCCGGCUAACUACGUG